rnacentral:rRNA from 1 species
UACAGAGGGGGCAAGCGUUGUUCGGAAUUACUGGGCGUAAAGGGCUCGUAGGCGGCCAACUAAGUCAUACGUGAAAUCCCUCAGCUUAACUGGGGAACUGCGUGUGAUACUGGAUGGCUUGGAUUUGGGAGAGGGAUGCGGAAUUCCAGGUGUAGCGGUGAAAUGCGUAGAUAUCUGGAGGAACACCGGUGGCGAAGGCGGCAUCCUGGACCAAUAUUGACGCUGAGGAGCGAAAGCCAGGGGAGCAAACGGG